GAUGAACGCUGGCGGCGUGCCUAAUACAUGCAAGUCGAGCGAACGGACGAGAGGCUUGCUUCUCUGAUGUUAUCGGCGGACGGGUGAGUAACACGUGGAUAACCUACCUAUAAGACUGGGAUAACUUCGGGAAACCGGAGCUAAUACCGGAUGAUAUUUUGAACCGCAUGGUUCAAAAGUGAAAGACGGUCUUGCUGUCACUUAUAGAUGGAUCCGCGCUGCAUUAGCUAGUUGGUAAGGUAACGGCUUACCAAGGCAACGAUGCAUAGCCGACCUGAGAGGGUGAUCGGCCACACUGGAACUGAGACACGGUCCAGACUCCUACGGGAGGCAGCAGUAGGGAAUCUUCCGCAAAGGGCGAAAGCCUGACGGAGCAACGCCGCGUGAGUGAUGAAGGUCUUCGGAUCGUAAAACUCUGUUAUUAGGGAAGAACAUAUGUGUAAGUAACUGUGCACAUCUUGACGGUACCUAAUCAGAAAGCCACGGCUAACUACGUG
rnacentral:rRNA from 1 species